AAUACUGUUUUAUGAACUGCUCACUUUCCUGAGAGCCGAUGACGGGAUAGCCAUCCAACUGUUGGCUUUGAAAUAUACAGACCACAAAAAUCCAGCCCUCGGUCACC